AUCUUUGCGCUUGGGGCAAUGACGCAGCUAGUGAGGUUAUAACCGAGGCGCGUCAAUUGCUGGUUGAAAACUAUUUCCAAACCCCCUCAUUGGCCUGGGUUCAGCCCAGCGCCACUGAGAAUUUCUGGAAGGGCUCCCUCCUAAACCCAGGGUAAAGCC